rnacentral:rRNA from 1 species
UGGGGAAUAUUGGACAAUGGGCGAAAGUCUGAUCCAGCCAUGCCGCGUGUGUGAAGAAGGUCUUCGGAUUGUAAAGCACUUUAAGUUGGGAGGAAGGGCAGUAAGCGAAUACCUUGCUGUUUUGACGUUACCGACAGAAUAAGCACCGGCUAACUCUGUGCCAGCAGCCGCGGUAAUACAGAGGGUGCAAGCGUUAAUCGGAAUUACUGGGCGUAAAGCGCGCGUAGGUGGUUCGUUAAGUUGAAUGUGAAAGCCCCGGGCUCAACCUGGGAACUGCAUCCAAAACUGGCGAGCUAGAGUAGGGCAGAGGGUGGUGGAAUUUCCUGUGUAGCGGUGAAAUGCGUAAAUAUAGGAAGGAGCACCAGUGGCGAAGGCGACCACCUGGGCUCAUACUGACACUGAGGUGCGAAAGCGUGGGGAGCAAACAGG